rnacentral:rRNA from 1 species
UACGUAGGUCCCGAGCGUUGUCCGGAUUUAUUGGGCGUAAAGCGAGCGCAGGUGGUUUAUUAAGUCUGGUGUAAAAGGCAGUGGCUCAACCAUUGUAUGCAUUGGAAACUGGUAGACUUGAGUGCAGGAGAGGGGAGUGGAAUUCCAUGUGUAGCGGUGAAAUGCGUAGAUAUAUGGAGGAACACCGGUGGCGAAAGCGGCCCUCUGGCCUGUAACUGACACUGAGGCUCGAAAGCGUGGGGAGCAAACAGG